AAGCCAUGGCUAACUCCGUGCCAGCAGCCGCGGUAAUACAGAGGCGGCAAGCGUUGUUCGGAAUUAUUGGGCGUAAAGAGCACGUAGGCGGCUGUGUAAGUCGGUUGUGAAAGCCUUCCGCUUAACGGAAGAACGGCAUCCGAUACUGCAUAGCUUGAGUGCGGGAGGGGAGAGUGGAACUUCUGGUGGAGCGGUGAAAUGCGUAGAUAUCAGAAGGAACACCGGCGGCGAAGGCGACUCUCUGGUCCGUAACUGACGCUGAGUGUGCGAAAGCUAGGGGAGCAAACGGGAUUAGAUACCCCGGUAGUCCUAGCCGUAAACGAU
rnacentral:rRNA from 1 species